rnacentral:rRNA from 1 species
GAUGAACGCUGGCGGCGUGCCUAAUACAUGCAAGUCGAGCGAAUGGAUUAAGAGCUUGCUCUUAUGAAGUUAGCGGCGGACGGGUGAGUAACACGUGGGUAACCUGCCCAUAAGACUGGGAUAACUCCGGGAAACCGGGGCUAAUACCGGAUAACAUUUUGAACCGCAUGGUUCGAAAUUGAAAGGCGGCUUCGGCUGCACCUUAUGGAUGGACCCGCGUCGCAUUAGCUAGUUGGUGAGGUAACGGCUCACCAAGGCAACGAUGCGUAGCCGACCUGAGAGGGUGAUCGGCCACACUGGGACUGAGACACGGCCCAGACUCCUACGGGAGGCAGCAGUAGGGAAUCUUCCGCAAUGGACGAAAGUCUGACGGAGCAACGCCGCGUGAGUGAUGAAGGCUUUCGGGUCGUAAAACUCUGUUGUUAGGGAAGAACAAGUGCUAGUUGAAUAAGCUGGCACCUUGACGGUACCUAACCAGAAAGCCACGGCUAACUACGUGCCAGCAGCCGCCGUAA